rnacentral:misc_RNA from 1 species
GAGGGUCGUAAGACCUCCUAAGCUCUUCAACCAAUCCGCGUACUACCCGAGGGGGCCCGCAAGGGCCACUACAGACUGCCUCGGUCGGCGGCCCCAGGGGGGGCCUCUGCCCGCGUCCGGCGCGUGACUGCCCGGCGCGGGUGCCGGCCGGUGGCCCAAACCAAAACUACCGUGUAAUACCUAUUACUUUCUGAAGAAAUGAGAAAUCAUUA